rnacentral:rRNA from 1 species
AGCGAACGCUGGCGGCAGGCUUAACACAUGCAAGUCGAGCGGGCACUCUCGGGUGUCAGCGGCGGACGGGUGAGUAACCCGUGGGAACGUGCCCUCUGGUUCGGCAUAUCACUGGGAAACUUGAGCUAAUACCGGAUACGACCUUCUGGGGAAAGGGUUGCUGCCGGAGGAUCGGCCCGCGUCUGAUUAGCUAGUUGGUGAGGUAACGGCUCACCCAGGCGAUGAUCAGUAGCUGGUCUGAGAGGGUGAUCAGCGAGACUGGGACUGAGACACGGCCCAGACGGCUACGAGAGGCGGCAGUUGUUAAUAAUGGGCAGGGGGCGCAAGCCUGAACCAGCCAGGCCGCGAGAAUGGUGAAGGCCUUAGGGUUGGAAAGCGCUUUUAUCCGGGACGAUAAGGACGGAACCGGAGGAAUAAGCCCCGGCAAACUUCGG